ACCCUCCAGAUUCCUGUCCCUCAGACCUGAGUAUUGGUCUGAGUGGUGAUUGCUGGAGGAAAAGUAAAAGUGAAGUGGACUUGGAGUCUUGAAUGACUUACAAGCUCCUUUCAAACAUCA
rnacentral:snoRNA from 1 species